rnacentral:lncRNA from 1 species
GAGUAUAGCAAUUAUACUUGCUAUAUAACAUUGCAUAGCUCAAUCCUAAAUACAUCAAUCUCUUUGUUGUUCAACAAAACUAAUUAGUCCAUUCACGAAUUUAUCAUUACAUCCUCUUGGAUAACAUCAAGCUAAAAUUGCAUAUGCAAGCUACUAGUAUCAUGAACACGUAGUACUUUAACAUGUAACCAUGUAGAGCGAACAAGUCAUGAAUCUUUCAUUACUGUUUAAAGAUGCUAUCAUAUCCGAUAUGAUCUACACAUCAAUGCAUAACGCAAUACCCUGAACUAUACAUAUAUUCACAUGAAUAUGGAAUAACUUCAACUCAGAUGUCAAAGGAGACAUAGAGGGAAUUCACCCAUUUUGGGAAGGUCAGACCCACCUAUCAC